rnacentral:lncRNA from 1 species
GCACUGCAGCGGGACCUGGACUUCUGCAGGGAUGUGAACCGCAAGCGACUGGCCCAGCUGCAGCAGCAGGAGUGUGAAAUGGAGCAGGAGCACCAGGACUUGGUCUCUCUGAUGCAGCAGUGCCAGGUGCUGAUAGACAAGGUCAGUGAUGCAUCUCUCCACCUGAAGGACCAAGCGGUGCAGACAGAGGUCACCUCCAACGUGGCUGCUCACAGCCAUUCUGUCACCAGCCACAAUAUCCCAGUGGAGAGCAGAAAGCUGCUCGAGCAGGAGAACCAGGGCCCGCAGUACAGCCCAGCUCAGCUGCAGGAGCAGUUGGGAGCCACCGAGGCCCAGAAGCAGCAGAGUCUGCACCAGCUGAGUGGAGCUGAGGAGACCAUCCAAGGCCCACACCAAGAAGUGGUAGAGCUGCAGCAACAGCUUUGCGGGCAGGUGCAGGGCACAGCCAACCUGCAGGAAGAACUGGCCCGAGCCCGGCGAGAGAGCACCAAGCAGGAGAAAAAGAGCGCAGUCCAUAAGACACAACAGCAGCAGCUCCAUCAGGGGCUGAGGAAGAGUUCUCAGCAGCAGAGCAAGCCGGAGGAGAGGCUGCAGGACCUGAGCAGACAAGCCCAACACUGGCAGCAGCUACAUGUGGACAGUGAGAGAGCUCUGGCUCUGCGAGAAGAGGAGCUGGUUGUCUGCAAGGUGGAGCUGGCUUUCCUUAUGGAAGAGCUCAGCAAGGUGACAGAGCAGGUGGAGGAUACAAACAGGCAUUCAAGACACACCAGGCAGGAUGCAGGAGAACCCACACCUCACAGUCAGAACACCUGAGCAGCCCCACAAGUGUCAGCAGCUGAAAAAGUUCUACAGGGCAACAACCUGACAGCACCAACCUUGCACAAUUCUGCAGAGCUGCCUCCACCCAAUACUUGUCUCUGGGACAAGAAGCAGCACAAAAGAAAGCAAGGAUUAAGACUGACAACCUUUAAACAAAUAAAAUUCUUUCUGUUCUGUAGCA